rnacentral:misc_RNA from 1 species
AAGUCGUAACAAGGUCUCCGUAGGUGAACCUGCGGAGGGAUCAUUACACAAACAAGUAUGAAGGCCUGGCUUCGCGGCCGGCUGAAGUAUUUUUUUUUUCCACCCAUGUCUUUUGCGCACUUGUUGUUUCCUGGGCGGGUUCGCCUGCCACCAGGACCAAACUAUAAACCUUUUUUCUCAUGCAGUUUCCAUCCGCGUCAGUACAAAAAAACAACGUAAUGAUUACAACUUUCAACAACGGAUCUCUUGGUUCUG